CAACACAGUGGAGCGAGAAGUCUGGCCUUGUGCCGGCCGGGCAGCUUUUCGCCGAGGCUCCCGUGGGAUGGGAUAGCUUGUUCUCUGGGCUGCAGGAACCAAAACAUUAGACCACCCUUUCUGUGACCUUGGGCAUGCCGCCCUCGGUUCCGAGCCGCAAGUCUUUCUUUCGGGGAAAAUGAAAAGGGGUCAAGAUUUGGACCAGAUGACACCCAAUGUCCCAUUCAACGGUCGCAUUCUGUCAUCCACAGGAAUUAGUCCUGUAUCCGAAACAUUCUCUGGUAGUCAAAAGCUGUGAGCAAAUAAUAAGAAAAAAAUGUGCAAAACGUUUUUUAGUACAGUUAGCAAAUAGUGUACUCAGUUGUUGAAGGAAAUGGGAUGAAGCCUAUCAGAUUUCAACAAACUUAUUUACCUCUUGAGAAAGCUGCUCUCUUUUCGGUUGUCCUUCUGUGUCUCUCUUUCGAAGAUCAAGUCUCACCGCGAUGCUGAUAUGUUUUUAACACUUCUCCAGCAUUUCUUAACCUAACAGCAGGUUUCAGGCACAGGCCUGCAGCAAGCAGCCAUAUCCAACUAAAAUUCCACUACUAUAUGUUUUUAUUUGCAUUACAUUUAUCAGGGAGCUUUCUAUUUAUGGCAAGGAAACUGAUUUUAAAUUUAAGUCAGUGCUAUACAUCAAGAGCUAGAUUUUGCAUUUUUAAGUGAAAAAGUAAGCUAUCAAAUAGAACAGGUGGAAUUUGGAUAUGGUGGGGCGGGGGGGUAGGCAGAGCAGGGGAGAGGAACAUCGUGAUAGUGGUACUCAAAUAACUAAGUUUUAGAAAACACUAUCACGGGGCCUUUCAGGAGCCUGGAGACGGAGGGGAAGACAGAAGAGAGAUUAAGGAGAAGAAUGUACAAGCACAAGAUGUGAAGGAGGCCACACUUAAAAAAAAACUUGAAAUGGAGUUUCAUUUGGAAGGACACUGACUAAGGAAAAACAGAGAAAAGGAUGAAACCCAAGCCAACUCUGCAACUCUAUUAAAAACACCAAGACUUCAAUAUGAACCUGGCAUGGUGGGCACAGUCGGGCACUGCAGGCGGCUUGCCUCCAGCAGAAGGAAUACUGCUACUCAGCUCUAGAUGAUUGCCCUGAAGAAAUUCAUGCCCACUGAAUCUCCUUAAAGGGAGGCAGUGCAUUCUUCAUGGCUAGAGCUUCAGCAGCUAUCUAGAACCAUAUGGUGGAAGCCACUUACUGAGAACUGUGAAACAAGAGCCUGGGUCCCUGACAUAUGAAGCCACCAUACCUACCUUAAAGUGUCUUUCACUUGAGGGAAAAAUACAUCUUUCUUAGCCUCAGGCAGGGCCUUUCGGAGGUAUUCCAGAAGAAGAUAUCAUUACCAUAAGAGAUGACAGCUCCAUGCAUGUUAUUGCCCCUAAACACCUUCUGGUGG